GCCAAUUUUGACAUAGAUUUCAUUCCCGAUCUAGACUGCCUACUUGUUGUACUGCCCAGGUCAUGCAGAAAAUUGGUGUUUACAUCAGACUUACCUAAGAUUUUCUUCCCUAAUACAAAUGACUUGAAUACAUCUCAUUUUCUUCCAGAGAGAUAGCUCCCUCCACUUCAGUCUAUAAUACAAACGAAGAUCAGCCAUUUGUUGCAUCUGAGGUAAACUGGCCUGGAUUUGUGGUCUGAGUUCACCAUAUUUCCACAGUAUGACAUUGAAGAAGAAAGGAAUUUUACUUGUCACUUGAUAGUUAUUGUCUCAUGACACUAAGCUAUGACUUGGAGACAAAGGCCAAGUCAAGCCCCACUGUGAGAUUCAAUGAUUCCUUGGUGGAGAAAGAAGCAUUUGAUGUGGAGCCUGACACACCUGGGAGAAGAGGGAUUAAAUCCUGAAGUGAAGAUUCCUACUGGGCUUGAAGUAAGAAGGGAAGCUGGGCUCUGGGGCACUGUUGACUAAAUGUGGGGAGUCUUCAGAAUUUUUCCAAAUAGCAGUUUGUGUACCUAUCUUAUGCUCUGUAAAAUAAUAACAGGGGUCCUGACUAUAACUGUGUACAUAAAUUUUCUGAAUUUUAGAUAAUAGGUACUCUGCAAAUGUUUGUGUCAUGGGACAGACAAUAUGGAUAGUGGGUAAAAGCAAGGGCUUGAGAGUCAAACAGACCCAGAUUUGAAUCCUGGUUUUGCCAUUUGCUUGUUGCAUGACUCUGGAAAAGUCAUUUCACCUCUUUGAGUUUACGAUUUCCAUUUUAUUGAGGAAGCCACAUAAGGCCUACCAUUUAUGGCUGUUGUGAGAGUUAAAUGUGACGUUGGUAAAGGGCUUUGAUAAAUUCCUGCUUGUCAGAGUCAGCACUCAAUAUAAUGGCAACUUAUUGCCAUCAUCUGUACCAUCAUAAUCACAAAUAAAUAAAUAAUUCUAGCCUCCUGCAUUUUCUCAGUCUUAAUUUGAGCUCUUCACCAUUGCCCUGACAGUGUUAUCUACAGGAACUUCGUUUUCUGGGAGUCUGUGCUGAUUGCAGAGGGCAUGGACUGAGGUCUCAG
rnacentral:lncRNA from 1 species